UGGACUCUCGUAAGCAUGAACU
rnacentral:miRNA from 1 species